CAGGCCUAACACAUGCAAGUCGAGCGGAUGACAGGAGCUUGCUCCUGAAUUCAGCGGCGGACGGGUGAGUAAUGCCUAGGAAUCUGCCUGGUAGUGGGGGACAACGUUUCGAAAGGAACGCUAAUACCGCAUACGUCCUACGGGAGAAAGCAGGGGACCUUCGGGCCUUGCGCUAUCAGAUGAGCCUAGGUCGGAUUAGCUAGUUGGUGAGGUAAUGGCUCACCAAGGCGACGAUCCGUAACUGGUCUGAGAGGAUGAUCAGUCACACUGGAACUGAGACACGGUCCAGACUCCUACGGGAGGCAGCAGUGGGGAAUAUUGGACAAUGGGCGAAAGCCUGAUCCAGCCAUGCCGCGUGUGUGAAGAAGGUCUUCGGAUUGUAAAGCACUUUAAGUUGGGAGGAAGG
rnacentral:rRNA from 1 species